rnacentral:rRNA from 1 species
CAAUAGCGUAUAUUAAAGUUGUUGCAGUUAAAAAGCUCGUAGUUGGAUUUCUGGUAGGAGUGACCGUUCCGAACUUGAUUGUUCGUGUAUUGUGUUUUCUCCAGCCAUCCUUGUGGAGAACUUUUCUUGCAUUAAUUUGUAGGGAUUGGGACCCGCAUCGUUUACUGUGAAAAAAUUAGAGUGUUUAAAGCAGGCAAUCGCUUGAAUACAUUAGCAUGGAAUAAUAAGAUAGGACUUUGGUACUAUUUUGUUGGUUUGCAUACCAAAUUAGUGAUCAACAGGAACAGUUUGAGGAUAUUCGUAUGAACAUGUCAGAGGUGAAAUUCUUGGAUUUUGAUCAGACGAACUACUGCGAAAGCAUUUAUCAAGGAUGUUUUCAUUAA